UACGGAGGAUGCGAGCGUUAUCCGGAUUUAUAGGGUUUAAAGGGUGCGCAGGCGGAUUUUUAAGUCAGCGGUCAAAUCGUGGGGCUCAACCCCAUCCAGCCGUUGAAACUGGGGAUCUAGAGUGUGCGAGAGGUAUGCGGAAUGCGUGGUGUAGCGGUGAAAUGCAUAGAUAUCACGCAGAACCCCGAUUGCGAAGGCAGCAUACCGGUGCACAACUGACGCUCAGGCACGAAAGCGUGGGUAUCGAACAGG
rnacentral:rRNA from 1 species